rnacentral:rRNA from 1 species
GGGUGAGUAACACGUGGAUGAUCUACCCUCUGGUGAGGAAUACCCCUGGGAAACCGGGAAUAAUACCGCAUAAGCUCGAGAGAGGAAAGCAGCAAUGCGCCGGAAGAGGAGUCCGCGGCCGAUUAGCUAGUUGGCAGGGUAAAAGCCUACCAAGGCGAAGAUCGGUAGCCGGCCUGAGAGGGCACACGGCCACACUGGCACUGAAACACGGGCCAGACUCCUACGGGAGGCAGCAGUGGGGAAUCUUGCACAAUGGGGGAAACCCUGAUGCAGCGACGCCGCGUGAGCGAUGAAGCCCUUCGGGGUGUAAAGCUCCUUCGGCAGGGAAGAUGAUGACGGUACCUGCAGAAGCAGCUGCGGCUAACUACGUGCCAGCAGCCGCGGUAAUACGUAGGCAGCAAGCGUUGUUCGGAGUUACUGGGCGUAAAGGGUGUGUAGGCGGUUGUUUAAGUUUGGUGUGAAAUCUCCCGGCUCAACUGGGAGGGUGCGCCGAAUACUGAAUGACUCGAGUGCGGGAGAGGAGAGUGGAAUUCCUGGUGUAGCGGUGAAAUGCGUAGAUAUCAGGAGGAACACCGGUGGUGUAGACGGCUCUCUGGACCGUAACUGACGCUGAGACACGAAAGCGUGGGUAGCAAACAGGAUUAGAUACCCUGGUAGUCCACGCCCUAAACGAUGCAUAUUUGGUGUGGGCCGUUCAGUCGGUCCGUGCCGGAGCUAACGCGUUAAAUAUGCCGCCUGGGGAGUACAGUCGCAAGGCUGAAACUCAAAGGAAUUGACGGGGGCCCGCACAAGCGGUGGAGCAUGUGGUUCAAUUCGACGCA